rnacentral:lncRNA from 1 species
AUUCAGCUGCCAAGGAUCUAGAGGUGCUCCUUACUCACUCUAGAGGUGCCCCUUGAUCACUCACUAAUUCUGGCAUGCUGGCUCUGACUCUGGCUUCAUAGGUGGGGUGGGGGAGGGUAGAUCAGCUUGUGUUUUGGUGGGAGCUUUUUUACCCCCUUAUAGUGUGGAAAUGCCCAAAUCCCAUGUACCUUCAUUUCUGCACUCUACUGUAGAGUCUCUUCAUUCUUAUGAAUUUUUUUUUGGUCUUUUGAGGUAGUUCUAUAUUGGUGGGUGCUGAGGAGAGGACAAGUCUUGUGUCUAGACUGCCACCAUGUUUACCCAGAAAUCUCUAGACUCACAGUUAAAAUACAAGGCUUAGAACUCUCCACUAGGCCAUCUAGCUGCCUGAAUAUUCACCUGAUUCCUAUUUUCUGGAAUAACUCAACCCAGACCAUAGGCCAGAUACCACUUCCUCAUCACCUGGUCUAAGUAAGUUAGAUAUUUUAUGGUGUCAUAAACUCAUGUAGUUUUAAACCACAGGGCAAAUGUAUAUAUAUAAAUCAAGCUGUUCUGAAGAAGCUGGAAGGACCCAGCUAAUAAUAAUUACAACCAAGAUACCAAGGGGACAGUUAGUACCUUAGAGUGGGGCUGGGUUUUUCUCCCCCUUUAGGAUCCUAAAAUAUAAGACCUAGAAAGGAUUUCCAAGGUUAUCUAAUUCAGUGUCUUCAUUUUAUAAGAAGCAGGAUGCUAAAGAAGUUAAAUGAUCUAAGAUCAUGCAGUUCAUAAGUAGCAAAGGGGGAUUUUUUAACCAAGUUCUGAUUCCAAAUUGAGCAUUCUCUCCAAUUGUGUUGAUACUUGCUUAUACACUCAAACAGUCCUUCAAAUAGCCAAUAGCCCAGACUUGCAAACUAGCUGGCAAGGAUUAAGGGUACAGACUGGAGCCAGAGACCAGAAUAUAGUUAACUACCCCACCCAGGAAUUUAACUAGCCCCCUAACUCAUAAGCAGAAUAGGAACAGCCACAAUUUAAAUUUGUUUCUGUAACAUGUUUUCCAAGUAAGUCAGUAUGUACA